AUGUUAUGUGCGACAUCGUAUAUCUCAAAAGGGAAACUUUUACAGUAUCAAAUUAAUACUAUGCAAUGCUAUGCUUGGAAUUUAUGCUAUUAUUAUGAUUUUACUUGUUGUUCUGAAAACCCUAAGAAACACCUUCCCUACCAAUGUGAGUUUAGUGAUAAUGGAACCGUGUCUUCGUAUGCUAAAGGUGCUUAUAGUUACUAUGAUGUUCAACAAAUUGAAGAAUUUGUUGCUUUUAAGGGUGCUUUUGAAAUUGCUUCUUUGAUUGAAAAGUAUGAUGCUACUCUUUACAAAUCUGAAAAAAAUUUCCAUACUUGA
rnacentral:rRNA from 1 species